GAUGAACGCUGGCGGCGUGCCUAAUACAUGCAAGUCGAGCGAACGGACGAGAAGUUUGCUUCUCGGACGUUAGCGGAGGGGGGGUGAGUAACACGUGUAUAACCUACUUAUAAGACUGGGAUAACUUCGGGAAACCGGAGAUAACACGAUAUAAGAUCUUGAACCGCAGGGUGCGAAAGUAAAAGACGGUGGUGGUGGCACGUAUAGAUGGAUCUGAGCUGGAUUAGGUAGUUGGGAAGGUAACGGCUUACGAAGGCAACGAUGCAUAGACGAACUGAGUGAGUGAUAGGCCACACGGGAACUGAGACAGGGUCCAUGCUACUGCGGGACGCACCAGUAGCGUAUCUUCCGCAAUGGUCGAAAGCCUGACGGAGCAACGCCACGUGAGUUAUGACGGUCCUCGGUUCGUAAAACUCGGUUAUUAGGUAAGAACAGAUGUGUCCGUAGCUGUGCCGAUCUUGACGGUACCUGAUAAGAAAGCAACGGCUAACUACGUG
rnacentral:rRNA from 1 species